AUUGAACGCUGGCGGCAGGCCUAACACAUGCAAGUCGAACGAGUGGCGGACGGGUGAGUAAUGUCUGGGCAACUGCCCGUUGGAGGGGGAUAAAUACUGGAAACCGUAGCUUAUACCGCAUACCAUCCGUUGUGCCCAGAUGGGAUUGGCUAGUAGGUGGGGUAAUGGCUCACCUAGGCGACGAUCCCUCGCUGGUUUGAGAGGUUGACCAGCCAAACGGGAACGUAAACAAGGUCCAGACUCCAACGGGGGGAAGAAGGGGGGAAGAUUGGACAAGGGGGGAAAGCCUGAUGAAGCCAGGCCGCGGAUAUGAAGAAGGCCUUCGGGUUGUAAAGUACUUUCAGCGAGGAGGCGGUACUCGCAGAAGAAGCAACGGCUAACUACGUGCCAGCAGCCGCGGUAAUUC
rnacentral:rRNA from 1 species